rnacentral:rRNA from 2 species
GGGUUGUGAGGUUAAGCGACUAAGCGUACACGGUGGAUGCCCUGGCAGUCAGAGGCGAUGAAGGACGUGCUAAUCUGCGAAAAGCGCCGGCGAGGUGAUAUGAACCUUUGACCCGGCGAUGUCCGAAUGGGGAAACCCAGUGCAAUCCGUUGCACUAUCGUUUGAUGAAUACAUAGUCAAACGAGGCGAACCGGGGGAACUGAAACAUCUAAGUACCCCGAGGAAAAGAAAUCAACCGAGAUUCCCCCAGUAGCGGCGAGCGAACGGGGAGCAGCCCAGAGCCUGAAUCAGCUUGUGUGUUAGUGGAACGGUCUGGAAAGUCCGGCGAUACAGGGUGACAGCCCCGUACACGAAAGCACACAGGCUGUGAGCUCGAUGAGUAGGGCGGGACACGUGGUAUCCUGUCUGAAUAUGGGGGGACCAUCCUCCAAGGCUAAAUACUCCUGACUGACCGAUAGUGAACCAGUACCGUGAGGGAAAGGCGAAAAGAACCCCGGCGAGGGGAGUGAAAAAGAACCUGAAACCGUGUACGUACAAGCAGUGGGAGCCUCUUAAUGGGGUGACUGCGUACCUUUUGUAUAAUGGGUCAGCGACUUAUAUUCUGUAGCAAGGUUAACCGAAUAGGGGAGCCGAAGGGAAACCGAGUCUUAACUGGGCGUUAAGUUGCAGGGUAUAGACCCGAAACCCGGUGAUCUAGCCAUGGGCAGGUUGAAGGUUGGGUAACACUAACUGGAGGACCGAACCGACUAAUGUUGAAAAAUUAGCGGAUGACUUGUGGCUGGGGGUGAAAGGCCAAUCAAACCGGGAGAUAGCUGGUUCUCCCCGAAAGCUAUUUAGGUAGCGCCUCGUGAAUUCAUCUCCGGGGGUAGAGCACUGUUUCGGCUAGGGGGCCAUCCCGGCUUACCAACCCGAUGCAAACUACGAAUACCGGAGAAUGUUAUCACGGGAGACACACGGCGGGUGCUAACGUCCGUCGUGAAGAGGGAAACAACCCAGACCGCCAGCUAAGGUCCCAAAGUCAUGGUUAAGUGGGAAACGAUGUGGGAAGGCACAGACAGCCAGGAUGUUGGCUUAGAAGCAGCCAUCAUUUAAAGAAAGCGUAAUAGCUCACUGGUCGAGUCGGCCUGCGCGGAAGAUGUAACGGGGCUAAACCAUGCACCGAAGCUGCGGCAGCGACACUAUGUGUUGUUGGGUAGGGGAGCGUUCUGUAAGCCUGUGAAGGUGUGCUGUGAGGCAUGCUGGAGGUAUCAGAAGUGCGAAUGCUGACAUAAGUAACGAUAAAGCGGGUGAAAAGCCCGCUCGCCGGAAGACCAAGGGUUCCUGUCCAACGUUAAUCGGGGCAGGGUGAGUCGACCCCUAAGGCGAGGCCGAAAGGCGUAGUCGAUGGGAAACAGGUUAAUAUUCCUGUACUUGGUGUUACUGCGAAGGGGGGACGGAGAAGGCUAUGUUAGCCGGGCGACGGUUGUCCCGGUUUAAGCAUGUAGGCUGGUUAUCCAGGCAAAUCCGGAUAAUCAAGGCUGAGGUGUGAUGACGAGGCACUACGGUGCUGAAGUAACAAAUGCCCUGCUUCCAGGAAAAGCCUCUAAGCAUCAGGUAACAUCAAAUCGUACCCCAAACCGACACAGGUGGUCAGGUAGAGAAUACCAAGGCGCUUGAGAGAACUCGGGUGAAGGAACUAGGCAAAAUGGUGCCGUAACUUCGGGAGAAGGCACGCUGAUAUGUAGGUGAAGCCCCUGCGGGCGGAGCUGAAAUCAGUCGAAGAUACCAGCUGGCUGCAACUGUUUAUUAAAAACACAGCACUGUGCAAACACGAAAGUGGACGUAUACGGUGUGACGCCUGCCCGGUGCCGGAAGGUUAAUUGAUGGGGUUAUCCGUAAGGAGAAGCUCUUGAUCGAAGCCCCGGUAAACGGCGGCCGUAACUAUAACGGUCCUAAGGUAGCGAAAUUCCUUGUCGGGUAAGUUCCGACCUGCACGAAUGGCGUAAUGAUGGCCAGGCUGUCUCCACCCGAGACUCAGUGAAAUUGAACUCGCUGUGAAGAUGCAGUGUACCCGCGGCAAGACGGAAAGACCCCGUGAACCUUUACUAUAGCUUGACACUGAACAUUGAGCCUUGAUGUGUAGGAUAGGUGGGAGGCUUUGAAGCGUGGACGCCAGUCUGCGUGGAGCCAACCUUGAAAUACCACCCUUUAAUGUUUGAUGUUCUAACGUGGACCCGUGAUCCGGGUUGCGGACAGUGUCUGGUGGGUAGUUUGACUGGGGCGGUCUCCUCCCAAAGAGUAACGGAGGAGCACGAAGGUUGGCUAAUCCUGGUCGGACAUCAGGAGGUUAGUGCAAUGGCAUAAGCCAGCUUGACUGCGAGCGUGACGGCGCGAGCAGGUGCGAAAGCAGGUCAUAGUGAUCCGGUGGUUCUGAAUGGAAGGGCCAUCGCUCAACGGAUAAAAGGUACUCCGGGGAUAACAGGCUGAUACCGCCCAAGAGUUCAUAUCGACGGCGGUGUUUGGCACCUCGAUGUCGGCUCAUCACAUCCUGGGGCUGAAGUAGGUCCCAAGGGUAUGGCUGUUCGCCAUUUAAAGUGGUACGCGAGCUGGGUUUAGAACGUCGUGAGACAGUUCGGUCCCUAUCUGCCGUGGGCGCUGGAGAAUUGAGGGGGGCUGCUCCUAGUACGAGAGGACCGGAGUGGACGCAUCACUGGUGUUCGGGUUGUCAUGCCAAUGGCACUGCCCGGUAGCUACAUGCGGAAGAGAUAAGUGCUGAAAGCAUCUAAGCACGAAACUUGCCCCGAGAUGAGUUCUCCCCUGGACUUUAAGUCCACUAAAGGAACGUUGAAGACGACGACGUUGAUAGGCCGGGUGUGUAAGCGCAGCGAUGCGUUGAGCUAACCGGUACUAAUGAACCGUGAGGCUUAACCUUACAACGCCGAAG